CGAAAAUUAAACCCAGGCUCUCUUAUUUGCCCUCCUCCUUCAUUUUGCUCCAUCAAACAAGAGGGGAAGCCGACAAAGUUCUCAAAGCUUCAAACAAACAAACAAAGGCGACAAACUUCCUCUCUCACUCGGCGACUCGACUCCAUCUUCACCGCAAGAGAUUCUUAAAAUUCCUCCAUGAAAAUCGAGUUUAUUCAAUCUUAAUCGAGCCUUUUCAAGUUUAAUUAAGCCAAUACAGCUGCAAGUUAGAGAAUAUUUGAGUAAAUAUUGAAGGAUGCAAGUUAGGUUUCCUCCAAAUUGAAGAUUCGAAUAUUGUUGCUUGCAGAUUCGUAUUAUCAGAUUACUCUGGAUGCUUCUGGACUUGAUUGUAGCUGACUGCAGAAGCUUGCAAGUCUGCGCAAGCUGUUGCUUGAGCUGAUUGUUGAGCUUGAGUUUGCUGCAGCAACUUUUGAGGGCGGAUGGAUGAGGCGUUUCAGUUAAAUGAGUCCAAACGAUUUCUGCCAGAGUGGCUUCCACAUGUUUCCUUUGAGAAAGGUGGUAAGAUCUGUAAUGCAAUUGGAGAAGGUGAGACCAUAACUGUUGAUAAAAGUGAGAUAAAAAGGAGGCAAAAACAGAAAACAAGUGGAAGUUCCAAGAGAAGUAGAACCUAAAACGAUCAAGUGUCAUUUGUAAAUAAGUAAUAUAAGUAUACACCUUUUGUUUGUAUUAAAUUCUUUCAAUAUACAUAUUAUUAACUGUUCUUUUGGUAAUAUUGCAGAACAAUAUGGCCCAGGAUAUGCUGUUCGAAGACGACUUGGACAGUCUCUUACAAGGUCAGCUGGGAAGAAACUUCGGGUAGCGUUUUAUGAAGGUCGAGUAGUGGGUGAUGAUGGAAAUGAAUUCACAAGGUAUAUUGGGAAAAUUGUUCGUAACCCCAAUUUGUGUCCCGUGAGAGUUCACAAAUGGGAAGAUUUGGACUCAGAUAAUGUAAACAUAUGUGAGCUGUUUUACAGAAAAUCGGUGGGAAAAAUUCUGAAAACAGAGGUGGAGUAACCAUGCCACAGUGUACGGGAAGUAAGCCAUUUCGACAAAUAAAGUAUGACAUGGGUUGAAGUUCUGGAAAUCCUCCAAGUUUUGAGAAGUUUUGGUUCGACACUCACAAAACAGGAAAUAUCUUAGACAAGCCCGAAACUGUGGAAAAACAUGUAUUUUGUGACAAUUAUUUGGAUGGUGGAUAUCAUUUCUACUGGCUUCCUUGCUGACUGCUCUCAAGUUAAGUGGUGUUGCUGAUAUGCUUCCUUGCUGACUGCUCUGCUAAUUAAAUUACCUCAUUUCUAUUUGCCGACUCUUCUCUGUUGUAGACAAGUCAGUUUGAAUUUUUAUAUAAUUAGUCAUCAGAUAAACUGGAAUUUUUAGAUAAUUAGGCAUCAGACAAUUGAUUUGGAUUUUUUGUAUUGAACUGGGGUUGUGUUGUUUUCAUUGAUUUGUAUGCAAUGAUGAUGGUAUUACUAUAAUGUAGAAAUCAAUGAUAUAUCUUUGGGAUA